CCAGUCCAACAGACCCAGCUAAGCUAAGCUUUAAAAAAAAUCCGAGAAACGAUCAGGACCGUCUAAUUAAUCAGACGUCCCUGAUUGGAUCAUGUGAUAAAGCAUCUGGGUCAUUGGAUUCGAUCAAACGGCUGUAAUGGAAGACGUAUGGUAAACCCGCGUGCACUGGAACCAACUGGGUAUAAAUACCCAAAUUCUUCACAUAAUCCUCAUUUACUAUUUUUCCUUCUCUCUCUUCACUUGCUCUCUCUCUCUUUAGUCUCUCUUUUCUCCCACCUUGUUCAUCAUGUUCAUCCUCUUGGAUGAGUUUUCCGGCGGCGGUCACCGUCCGGCUAAACUUUGAUGGCGGCGCUGCUGUUCCGGCCGCCAUCUACCCCUACCGGAAUGCCAAAAAAUCUAAAAAUUAACCCAAAAUCUCUAUUUUUUUAGUUUUAAACACCAAUCAAACAAUAAAAUAUCAAACAAACCUUGAAUCCGAAAAUUCCCAAAAUAGAAAACCGAUCUUUACCUAAUCAUGCAUAGAAAAUCAACAAAAAUACAUGCAAGAGAAAGGUAAUUUUUUAUUUUUUUUAAUUUUCUUUUAUUGUUUUUUCUGUUAUUCUCUUUCCUUUUUUGACUGCUUCUUCUUUCUCUUAGGUUACUGUUAAAAGAAGAAUUUUUUUUGUUUAGGUAGAAUUUUUUUUUUUAGGUAAUUUUAUUUUUAUAUUUACACUAAAAAGAUCUUUUAUAAUUUUUCUUCUUUUAGAUGUUUCUGUUUUUUUAUUAGAUCUAAAUAGAUUAAUAUAUAAAAUAAUUUCUUCUCAUC
rnacentral:lncRNA from 1 species